UGAAAGCAAGGGAAAUAGUAUGAAGUCCCAAAUAAAGGCCAGAAAUGAGUCGGGAAUGGAGCGUCAACAGAAAAGAGCAAGAGCAGAGGUCGCCGAAAAAUCAGAUUUCCGGCCAAAAAUUCUCAGUAUCGAUUUGCCUCAUGAAAAGGUCGCCAGAAAAUUAUAAGGUCAACGGAGAGAACAAAAUCCGGCCAAAAAUCCGGAUCUGUACUUCAUAUAGCAACAGAAAAUAUAACAAGAAAUAGAGACCAGACAAAAAGGGAACGAGAAUAAAGGGGGUGGCUGCCUUUUCUUGAGAGAAUGAGAGAGAUGAGAGCUCUCUUUUGGACUGAGUUUUGCUGGCCUUUGGUUCUGGUUUUGGUGUCUGUUAUAGGUGGCUUAAAGGAGGAGUUACAGUGGAGUUAUUUGGUGAAAACUCUAUUUUAGGAAGAGAUCAGGGCUCCUCGUGCUCUCUCUACCAUUUUUUUUUAAUCUUUUUCCCCGGUUCUAUCUGUUUUCUCUCCCCUUUUUUGACUUUCCUCUUCCCCUUUUUAAUUUUCCUCCUCCCUCUUUUGACUUUUUAUUGUAUGUAUUUGGGGUAAAGAUAAAUUUACUUUUUUUUUGUGAGUGUCAGUGUGUGUUGGUGGAGGGAUUAUGUGAGGGAAGUGCACGGGGAAAGUGAGGGUGUGAGUGGAAAAAUAUUCACGCAUAGUCAAAAAUUAGGUGCCCACAGCAUGCCCCUCUUUUCUUGGAAACAUGAAGAGUUUUCAAGCAAAGACAAGGUGAGCGAUACGACUAAUUUUUGGCCAUACCAUUAUUCAAAAGGAAAGAGAGAAAAAAGUGCAACCGAGUCCUGAUUUUGGACGGCCUACAUAUCCUGGUUUAUAAGGGAAUCAGGUCGCGUGUAAUUCAAGAAAAAGGAUGGAAUGCUGAGUUGGAGAGUCGAGUGAGGUUCCGUCGAGGCUCCGGUCUAUAGUCGUGUUAUUACAUCAAAAUCAAAAGAGACUAAAUAAUCCUAUCAGCUAUGAGUUACAAGAUUCAUAUAUAUAAGUCUUCUAAAACGUGAUCUUGAGUUUUGACUGGUUCUUUACGCAUACUCUAAUGUGAACCUUGAUGCUUGCUCGUUGCAGGUGCCAGUUCAUUCUUCUACGGCCUCUUCUGAUGAAGGCGGGAAAUGCAAUGCUCGUGACUUCAGUCAUGUCUUGAACAGUUCACAUCUUUUCAUCCGCUUCUGCAAUCUGGAUUCACUUUUUUUUUAUUUUCUUUUCUUUAUUUUGGAUUGAGACUUCUUCUUCGCCUCAAGGUAAAACCUGCUCAGACACCAAAACAAACAAACAAAUAAAAUUUUUCUGCCCCUGUUUUCACUAGAAAAAUUUCGUGCGUUAUUUGUAACAAAAAUCUAUACUACUUCAUUAUUGAAAGCAAUAAAAGGUCAGGAU
rnacentral:lncRNA from 1 species